rnacentral:rRNA from 1 species
UACGUAGGGUGCGAGCGUUGUCCGGAAUUAUUGGGCGUAAAGGGCUCGUAGGCGGUCUGUUGCGUCGGGAGUGAAAACCCAGGGCUUAACCCUGGGCUGGCUUCCGAUACGGGCAGACUAGAGGUAUGCAGGGGAGAACGGAAUUCCUGGUGUAGCGGUGAAAUGCGCAGAUAUCAGGAGGAACACCGGUGGCGAAGGCGGUUCUCUGGGCAUUACCUGACGCUGAGGAGCGAAAGCGUGGGGAGCAAACAGG